rnacentral:rRNA from 1 species
AGAAUCAACGCUGGCGGCGUGCCUAACACAUGCAAGUCGAACGAGAAAGUGGUAGCAAUACCAUGAGUAAAGUGGCGCACGGGUGAGUAACACGUGACUAACCUACCCUUGAGUGGGGGAUAACUGAGGGAAACCUUAGCUAAUACCGCAUAAUACCCACGGGUCAAAGGAGCAAUUCGCUCGAGGAGGGGGUCGCGGCCGAUUAGUUAGUUGGCGGGGUAAUGGCCCACCAAGACGAUGAUCGGUAUCCGGCCUGAGAGGGCGCACGGACACACUGGAACUGAAACACGGUCCAGACUCCUACGGGAGGCAGCAGUGGGAAUUUGCGCAAUGGGGGAAACCCUGACGCAGCAACGCCGCGUGGAGGAUGAAGUCCUUCGGGACGUAAACUCCUUUCGAUCGGGACGAUUAUGACGGUACCGGAAGAAGAAGCCCCGGCUAACUUCGUGCCAGCAGCCGC